UUACCCACUCCCGGCACGGGGAGGUAGUGACGAAAAAUAACGAUGCGGGACUCUUCCGAGGCCCCGUAAUCGGAAUGAGUACACUUUAAAUCCUUUAACGAGGAUCCAUUGGAGGGCAAGUCUGGUGCUAGCAGCCGCGGUAAUUCCAGCUCCAAUAGCGUAUACUAAAGUUGUUGCGGCUAAAAAGCUCGUAGUUGGAUUUCAGUCGUAGGCCGGUGGUCCACCACCCGGUGGCUACUGCCUGGCCUAGGCACCUUGCCGGCUCUCCCGCGAUGCUCUUGACCGGGUGUCGUGGGUGGCCGGAACGUUUACUUUGAAAAAAUUAGAGUGCUCCAAGCAGGCGUUACGGCCUGAAUAACACAGCAUGGAAUAAUGGAACAGGACCUUGGUUCUGUUUUGUUGGUCUUCGGAAGCUAAGGUAAUGAUUAAUAGGGACGGACGGGGGCAUUUGUAUUGCGGCGCUAGAGGUGAAAUUCUUGGACCGCCGCAAGACAAACUACUGCGAAAGCAUUUGCCAAGAACGCUUUCAUUAAUCAAGAACGAAAGUCAGAGGUUCGAAGGCGAUCAGAUACCGCCCUAGUUCUGACCAUAAACGAUGCCAACCAGCGAUCCGCCGGAGUUAAUCCCAUGACUCGGCGGGCAGCUUCCGGGAAACCAAAGUGUUUGGGUUCCGGGGGAAGUAUGGUUGCAAAGCUGAAACUUAAAGGAAUUGACGGAAGGGCACCACCAGGAGUGGAGCCUGCGGCUUAAUUUGACUCAACACGGGACACCUCACCCGGCCCGGACACCGGAAGGAUUGACAGACUGAGAGCUCUUUCUUGAU
rnacentral:rRNA from 1 species